rnacentral:rRNA from 1 species
CAGUCGCCGCGGUAAUACGAAGGGUGCAAGCGUUACUCGGAAUUACUGGGCGUAAAGCGUGCGUAGGUGGUGGUUUAAGUCCGUUGUGAAAGCCCUGGGCUCAACCUGGGAAUUGCAGUGGAUACUGGGUCACUAGAGUGUGGUAGAGGAUAGUGGAAUUUCCGGUGUAGCAGUGAAAUGCGUAGAGAUCGGAAGGAACAUCUGUGGCGAAGGCGACUAUCUGGGCCAACACUGACUCUGAGGCACGAAAGCGUGGGGAGCAAACAGGAUUAGAUACCCCCGUAGUCCCUGUCUCUUAUAC